AAAACAAGUAAGGCUUAUAUCAAAUACCUCGUAAACACUGGUAUGUAUUUUUGAACCAUUUUUGUGGUUACUAUUAUUUCUCUUCAAGUUAACAAUCUAUGAAUACAAAGUAUUAUUCCGUAUAUCAAACCAAAUGUAUGGAAGUAAGUUUCACAGACGCCGUAAUUAAUUGGUUGACAGUUAUCAAAUAUCUGUAUCACAAAUGACCACAG
rnacentral:lncRNA from 1 species